CCUACGGGAGGCAGCAGUGGGGAAUUUUGGACAAUGGGCGCAAGCCUGAUCCAGCCAUGCCGCGUGCAGGAUGAAGGCCUUCGGGUUGUAAACUGCUUUUGUACGGAACGAAAAGACUCUGGUUAAUACCUGGGGUCCAUGACGGUACCGUAAGAAUAAGCACCGGCUAACUACGUGCCAGCAGCCGCGGUAAUACGUAGGGUGCGAGCGUUAAUCGGAAUUACUGGGCGUAAAGCGUGCGCAGGCGGUUAUGUAAGACAGAUGUGAAAUCCCCGGGCUCAACCUGGGAACUGCAUUUGUGACUGCAUAGCUAGAGUACGGCAGAGGGGGAUGGAAUUCCGCGUGUAGCAGUGAAAUGCGUAGAUAUGCGGAGGAACACCGAUGGCGAAGGCAAUCCCCUGGGCCUGUACUGACGCUCAUGCACGAAACGCGUGGGGAGCAAACAGGAUUAGAUACCCUGGUAGUCCACGCCCUAAACGAUGUCAACUGGUUGUUGGGUCUUCACUGACUCAGUAACGAAGCUAACGCGUGAAGUUGACCGCCUGGGGAGUACGGCCGCAAGGUUGAAACGUCAAAGGAAUUGACCGGNGNGAGAGAGACGAGGACGACGACGAGGGAGGAGG
rnacentral:rRNA from 1 species